rnacentral:rRNA from 1 species
AGUGAACGCUGGCGGUAGGCCUAACACAUGCAAGUCGAACGGCAGCACAGUAAGAGCUUGCUCUUACGGGUGGCGAGUGGCGGACGGGUGAGGAAUACAUCGGAAUCUACUUUUUCGGGGGGGAUAACGUAGGGAAACUUACGCUAAUACCGCAUACGACCUACGGGUGAAAGCAGGGGAUCUUCGGACCUUGCGCGAUUGAAUGAGCCGAUGUCGGAUUAGCUAGUUGGCGGGGUAAAGGCACACCAAGGCGACGAUCCGUAGCUGCUCUGAGAGGAGGAGCAGCCACACUGGAACUGAGACACGGUCCAGACUCCUACGGGAGGCAGCAGUGGGGAAUAUUGGACAAUGGGCGCAAGCCUGAUCCAGCCAUACCGCGUGUGUGAAGAAGGCCUUCGGGUUGUAAAGCCCUUUUGUUGGGAAAGAAAAGAAGCAGGUUAAUACCCCGCUGUGCUGACGGUACCCAAAGAAUAAGCACCGGCUAACUUCGUG